rnacentral:rRNA from 1 species
UCCGUAGGGUGCGAUCGUUAAUCGGAAUUACUGGGCGUAAAGCGUGCGCAGGCGGUCUGCUAAGACAGGUGUGAAAUCCCUGGGCUCAACCUAGGAAUUGCGCUUGUGACUGGCAGGCUAGAGUACGGUAGAGGGGGGUGGAAUUCCUGGUGUAGCAGUGAAAUGCGUAGAGAUCAGGAGGAACACCGAUGGCGAAGGCAGCCCCCUGGGUCUGUACUGACGCUCAGGCACGAAAGCGUGGGGAGAAAACAGG